GACAGAGGGGGCGAGCGUUGUCCGGAGUCACUGGGCGUAAAGCGCGCGCAGGCGGCAACCUUAGUGUCGUGUGAAAGCCCCCGGCUCAACGGGGGGAGGCCAUGGCAAACUGGGUCGCUCGAGCUGCGGAGAGGCCGCUCGAAUUGCCGGUGUAGCGGUGAAAUGCGUAGAGAUCGGCAGGUAGACCAAGGGGGAAGCCAGGGGGGUGGCCGCAGGCUGACGCUGAUGCGCGAAAGCGUGGGGAGCAAACCGG
rnacentral:rRNA from 1 species